CAAGUCGAGGGGUAUAUGGUGCUUGCAUCAUAGAGACCGGCGCGCGGGUGCGUAACGCGUAUGCAAUCUACCUUUCACAGGAGAAUAGCCCAGAGAAAUUUGGAUUAAUGCUCCAUGGUAUUGAGAUAUCACCUGAUAUUUUAAUUAAAACUACGGUGGUGGAAGAUGAGCAUGCGUCUUAUUAGCUAGUUGGUACGGUAACGGCGUACCAAGGCAACGAUAAGUAGGGGUCCUGAGAGGGAGAUCCCCCACACUGGUACUGAGACACGGACCAGACUCCUACGGGGAGGCAGCAGUGGAGGAAUAUUGGACAAUGGGCGCAAGCCUGAUCCAGCCAUGCCGCGUGCAGGAAGACUGCCCUAUGGGUUGUAAACUGCUUUUAUACAGGAAGAAUAAGGAGUACGUGUACUUUGAUGACGGUACUGUAUGAAUAAGCAUCGGCUAACUCCGUGCCAGCAGCCGCGGUAAUACGGAGGAUGCAAGCGUUAUCCGGAAUCAUUGGGUUUAAAGGGUCCGUAGGCGGAUUAAUAAGUCAGUGGUGAAAGUCUGCCGCUCAACGGUAGAAUUGCCAUUGAUACUGUUAGUCUUGAAU
rnacentral:rRNA from 1 species